rnacentral:lncRNA from 1 species
UUGAGGGAAAAGUAAUGGGGUGGUGGUUUGAUAGGAUUAGGUUGUUGGGAUUGUUUUAAUAUAUUAUUGUAUUUUAUUUGAAAUAAUCAAGACAUUUUCUUCUUUUUCUCAAAAAUAUUUUUCCCAAUUUUUACAUUCUUUUUUCUCUCUUAAUCCUCAUGUUUCAUUUUCUUUUUUUUUCUAUGUUAGUUUCUUACUCUUCAUUAUUUUGUUUUUCUUCUAUUUUUAUUUUCUUCAUCGGGUUUUGUGCUUCGGUAGUGAAAGUUGAUUGAAUAGUGGAAAUUAGAUUGGUGUGUAAGUAAUGUCUUCCAUCUUUUUCGUUUCGGAGAGUUUCCUUUCUUGGAAGUUUAGUUUUAUUGAUAAGUGAUUUUGUGUUUAAUCGUGUUUAUUGAUUAUUUUAUUUAGGGAAAACUUAGGAAGUGAAUAAUUCAUCGGCGAGUUAAGGUUUGGGGAAGUACUGUUCGUUCGAAGGUAGAUGUUUUUGUCAAUUUGGGACUGUUUUGGCUG